rnacentral:misc_RNA from 1 species
GUGGAUAUUUGGGCAGCCUAAAGCAGGAGUUCAUGAAAAAGAGGAAGAAGGGGAAAUUACCUAAAGAAGCAAGGCAGCAGUUACUGGAUUGGUGGAGCAGACAUUACAAAUGGCCUUAUCCAUCGGAAUCACAAAAGCUAGCCUUAGCAGAAUCUACUGGUCUGGAUCAGAAGCAAAUUAAUAACUGGUUCAUUAACCAAAGGAAGCGACACUGGAAACCAUCUGAGGAUAUGCAGUUUGUGG